rnacentral:rRNA from 1 species
UUUUGGACAAUGGGCGCAAGCCUGAUCCAGCCAUGCCGCGUGAGUGAAGAAGGCCUUCGGGUUGUAAAGCUCUUUCGGUGAAGACGAAACGGUUAGCGCUAAUAACGCUGACUAAUGACGGUACUCACAGAAGAAGCACCGGCUAACUACGUGCCAGCAGCCGCGGUAAUACGUAGGGUGCAGGCGUUAAUCGGAAUUACUGGGCGUAAAGCGUGCGCAGGCGGUUUGCUAAGACAGGUGUGAAAUCCCCGGGCUUAACCUGGGAAUUGCGCUUGUAACUGGCAAGCUAGAGUGUGGCAGAGGGGGGUGGAAUUCCACGUGUAGCAGUGAAAUGCGUAGAUAUGUGGAGGAACACCGAUGGCGAAGGCAGCCCCCUGGGUUAACACUGACGCUCAGCACGAA